rfam:Triticum aestivum genome assembly, contig: Triticum_aestivum_CS42_TGACv1_scaffold_225874_3B
UAAACCCUCCCUCCGUCCGGAAAUAUUUGUCGGAGGAAUGGAUGUAUCUAGACGUAUUUUAGUUCUAGAUACAUCCAUUUUUAUCCAUUUUCGCGACAAGUAAUUUCGGACGGAGGGAGUAGUAU